rnacentral:misc_RNA from 1 species
AACGGGUUAAAAUCACGCGGCACCACGCCUGUCCACUGCGAGCGUGCAAUUUGAUCUUUGGAGAAUCUCUCUGCAAUUUGACAAUAGCGACAAGCCGACAGCCAAUCCUAAUUAGAUUUUUUUUAAUAUUUAUAAAUUUGCAAACUCAUUCUACAAAACCACAGCGUCAUCGAAGAGUCGACCUCUCUCCCCUGGUAGAAAGAAUUAGAAACCAUGACAAGCUCCUCUGCUCCUUCACGCAAGGCUUUAAGCAAGAUCGCGUGUAACAGAUUGCAAAAGGAGCUCGCUGAAUGGCAGUUGAAUCCCCCUACAGGUUUCAAGCACAAAGUCACUGAUAAUCUCCAACGAUGGGUGAUUGAAGUCAACGGAGCCCCGGGAACUCUAUAUGCGAAUGAAACUUAUCAGCUUCAAGUGGAUUUUCCCGAACAUUAUCCUAUGGAAGCACCACAGGUGAUUUUUCUCCCACCAGCUCCUCUACAUGCGCACAUCUAUAGCAAUGGACAUAUCUGUUUAGAUAUUCUCUAUGAUUCAUGGUCCCCAGCUAUGACUGUGAGUUCUAUCUGUAUAAGCAUCCUCUCCAUGCUGUCGAGCGCGACUGUGAAGCAACGCCCUGUUGAUAAUGAUCGCUAUGUGAAGAACUGUAAGAGUGGCAGAUCUCCCAAAGAGACAAGAUGGUGGUUCCAUGAUGAUAAAGUG